rnacentral:rRNA from 1 species
UACGUAGGGGGCAAGCGUUGUCCGGAAUCAUUGGGCGUAAAGCGCGUGUAGGCGGCCCGGUAAGUCCGCUGUGAAAGUCGGGGGCUCAACCCUCGGAUGCCGGUGGAUACUGUCGGGCUCGAGUACGGAAGAGGCGAGUGGAAUUCCUGGUGUAGCGGUGGAAUGCGCAGAUAUCAGGAAGAACACCAACGGCGAAGGCAGCUCGCUGGGACGGAACUGACGCUGAGGCGCGAAAGCGUGGGGAGCGAACAGG